CUUCUCUCUGCCCGUCUCUGCUUCCCCCCCCUUCCCCCCCCCCUUUUCUCCCGGCCGACGGAGCUGAAGGGGCGGGGGUUCCUUCCUUGGAGUGUUUCUAGAGCUCGGAGGCUGCUGGUAGGGGGAAGUUGUACCCGUCAGCACCUGCUGAGGGCUUUGUUGUCCAAACCCUGACAGGUAAAAAAAUUCCUGCAGAAUAAAGCCAGACCAGCUGGCUUUGAAGAGAAACCCCCCAGUUUGGGCUGCGUUUGCCUCCUCUCCUUUUCUAUGAAGACCGAGGCUUUGCCCCCUUGAUCGUCAAGCCGUGAGAUGCGUGAUCUCUCUGCACAAGUGUCUGGCAGGCCGAGGUGCACCUGUUUCUGUCACUCUGGAGUAAAUUUAGCUGUAAAGGUAUCACUGACAACCAGACCUUUGUCAGUGCUGGCAAAAGAACACAGAAUUGCUUCCCUCCCCUCCCCCCUCCCGACCCCCUAUGCUGCUAGUUCCAAUGGAAAAUAUCCAAUCGGAAGUCUAUCCAAAAAUCAUUCCUAAAAAAUGAAAUUGCUUUCAUAUGGUAUAAAAAAGUAAGUUUCCUCAUUUCAAGCAGAUUUUAAAAUUACAUUUCCAAGAAUAAUCUUGGAACAAGACAAGUUUUCGUUCAAUUAAUUGUGGCUGGAAACUUUUUAAUGGAAACAUAGCACAUACUUACUUCAUUUCAGGUUAUUAAAUUGUGUUAAGCAUAAAAGUUAUUUGCCAUUCUUUGUUGCAGCUCAUUUGUUCUUUUCGAUUCUAAGAAAUAUUAGAAGGUUAAAUAACUUAUCACAUAGGAGAGAUUAUUCAUACUACCAAAAUUAGAAUGUGUGUAGUUCUGAGGGACUGAAUGUCAAAAUUGUAUGCUCAUAGCACUAAAACUAUUGGGAAUCUAGGAUGCCACUGGAACAUGUAAAAUGGCAGCUAAGGUCUAUGGAAACCCUUCAUGUUUAGAAACUGGCUAAAGCUUGAGUUCUCUUAUCUUUUGGUUAAGGGCACCACUUUCAGAUAAAAACAUAGACCUGAAUGGCAUCAUCCAGUAUCCAAGGAAACCAUGCUUGCUUGAAGAGUGAGCAGGUGAGCAAAGAGACAAGAUUACAUGUUUAAACCAAGAAAAGAAUCUUGAAAGUUCUCUAAACAUGAAUAUGCCUUUGGGGGAAGACAGAAGAACAUGGAAGCCAUGUGAAAAAAACGGAUCCUAAGGCAGUUUUGAACAUCUGGAGGCCUGAUUUAUUGGAGAUUGCAAAUGUACAGUGUAACAUAGCUGUGGAGAGCGAGAAGAUCAGGAUUGUCAAUGCUGUCAUUGCUUUUACUGGAAUCCCCAGCACGAAUUGAAGGUCUCACUUUGCCACCUAGGCUGGAUGCAAUGCAACGGUAUGUUGAUCUUGGUUCACUGCAGCCUCAACCUCCUGAGCUCAUGUGAUCCUCCCACCUCAGUCCCCCACGUCGCUUGGAUUACAGGCCUGUGCCACCACACCUGGCUAACUUUUUUUGUAAUUUUUGUAGAGACAGGGUCUCACUAUGUUUCCCAUGCUGGUCUUUAAUGCCUGAGCUCAAGCCAUCCGCCUGCCUCGGCCUCCCAAAUUGCUGGGAUUACAGGCAUGAGCCACCAUGCCCAGCCUAAUUCUUCUAAAUCUUAUCCUAGUAAUUAAGCCAGAAUUUUUCUCUGCCAAGACCAAUAGAUGGACCAAGAAGUACUCAUCCUUGUAAACUUUCUUUGGAUAAAUUGCUUACAUAUAAUAAAUUCAGAGUUAAGUAAUAAAAAUAAUGAACUACUGUCUUG
rnacentral:lncRNA from 10 species